CCACAAUUUAUCAUUCAAUGCACCUCUUCUUCUUCCAAUCCGUGAAUCUGCACUCUGCAGCUAUAAAUAGAAUAGAAUACGCCUCUCUCCUCCUUCAAAAAUCCAAAGCCGGUGUAGCUGCUGAGGUUUUGGGAGAUCAAGAAUGUAAAAAGGGCGGCUAGGUUAUGGGUUUUCAUGGUGGAGAGUUUCAGCUUUCAUCAUCAUCCUAGAUUCUUAUUAAUGGCAAUUAAAUCCGAUUUCAAGUCAUGGAUCUGAAAAUUAAUGAUGCACUGGCGAUGUAAAUUUUAUCUCGAUACCAACAUAAUUUGACAAGUCGAAGGCUUGGUAAUGUUUGUGACCGCAGUUGUGGCUGAUGCUGAGAACCAGAAGAAUUGGACUAAGUCUCCUUUUACUGGUUUCGUAUAGGGUGUGGCGUCAGGCGUGUCUCUGGCUCUUGCAAGGUGAUGUUAGAUUAAUGUCAGUGUUUGGUGAAACUCCAGAUUAUGUUAUCUAUAGAAGAUAUUAUCCCACAUUCUUUAUGGGCGUGUGCCAAAUACACAAUUCUUUGGUUGUGUCAAAUACACAAUUCUUUGGUAUAACAAUAAGCUGAGGAAGAAGACUUGGAUCAAAAGAAAACAGUCUAUUUAAGAAGCAGUGGUAUCAGCUUCUAAAACUCUUCUUCUCUUUUAUUUAUA